GUGUGCAAUUAUUCUAUUAUGGAGAUGUCAGUUCAUUACAACGCUACUCCGGCUUUUUUCUCCUACAACAAGACUUGCGUAUGGCUACAGGUUCAUAUCAAGGAAGUUUAGAAAAAUUGCAGCGCCUUUCAGUUCAUUGUAUGAAAAAAGCAAAGUUCAUCUUGUCUAGUACAGGUUGCUGCUGGUGUCCGUUCAUUGUCGAUUUCGUUUUGGGAAAUUUCCAAAACUUAAUGCUGAGAACGGAUGCAGUUUGAUCUUGUGCAAGUUGGAAAUUCCCUGAUGCUGAGUGUGUCAGUACAACCCUACGUCACACAGGAAACAGUGUGUGUACAUUUUUGGAUUUAAUUUUGGAAGGUUCACACAUCCAUAUUAGAGAGAUUCAUCGGACAUAAUUUUGUACAACAACAACAACAAAGCCUUUAGUCCCAAACAAGUUGGGGUAGGCUAGAGGUGAAACCCAUAAGAUCUCGCAAUCAACUCAUGGCUCUGGCACAUGGAUAGCAAGCUUCCACGUACCCCUGUCCAUAGCUAACUCCCUCUUGGUGUUCUCAUUGUGGCCUACUUGCGGGGCAUACGCGCUGAUAACAUUGAGAACCAAGUCCUCAACUAUCAGCUUGACCAAGAUAAUCCGGUCCCCACGUCUCUUGACGUCUACCACUCCAUACUUGAGACUCUUAUUGAUCAAGAUGCCUACGCCAUUUCUGUUUGCAGCCGUCCCCGUGUACCACAGCUUGAAGCCGGUAUCCUCCACCUCCUUCGCCUUCUGUCCUCUCCAUUUGGUUUCUUGGAUGCAAAGGAUAUCAACACCUCUCCUCACCGCUGCAUCAACUAGCUCCCGAAGCUUCCCUGUCAGAGACCCUACAUUCCAGCUACCUAAGCGAAUCCUCCUAGGCUCGGCUAGCUUCCUUACCCUUCGCACCCAUCGAGUCAAAUGCGAAGACCCUUGCUCAUUUUCCACUACACCCGGGCGCCGAUGUAGCGCGCCACUAAGGAUGCGACGACCCGAUCCUCGCUCACUUGCCAUCGUAUCCGGAUCAAGAUACGGCGCGCCACUUGGGGGGUGAUGGCCCGGCCCUUGCCCACUUUCCACCACACCCGGGUUCCGAUGUGGCGCGUCGCUGAGAGGGUUACGCCCCAACAAAAAUAUUUUGGGUUUCAUAUCCAUAAGAGUGGCUGAGUUUUUACGUUGCUCGCCAAGCCUGUCACAACCCUCCUCCUUUACCCGGGCUUGGGACCGGCUAUGUUGAGACAACAUAGGCGGAGUUAUCGGACAUAAUUUUGUAAGUUUAGAAAAAGCAAU
rnacentral:lncRNA from 1 species